rnacentral:lncRNA from 1 species
CUUUGUUUUUUGCACACCCCGUCCACGGGAAAGAUGCGGCUUCAUGUGGACAGAGCAGAGUAAGCUGCAGACACACACAGAGCUAAUGAGCUAUAUUUUAAGCAAAAUGGAUUUUGCUUGAAAUCAACACCAAAUGAGGGUUUUUUUUGGCUUCCGUAGGAAACUAUUUUAGAAACAGGCAGUGUUCAGACGAGGAGCAGUCUGUGGGGGAGUAGAUGUACUUUGGGACCAAANUUAAGCACACCAUGGAAAAACCAUGCCUGGAAGUUCUGAUCGUUUCCAGAGAAGCUGCUGGUGGUGCUCAGAAACGCACAGCACCACUCUGGGAAGAAGCUUCCCAGCCUGUUACUAAGAGGUUACGGAUGGAUUUACCAGCUUAUCCACAGGAGUGGAAAUCCUCUCUCCCACUGCAUCCAAUUUCCCUGCAGGUUGAUCUCAGCAUAAAUAUCAGUCAACAUGCCUCCUGUUCAUCUUCUGAGUUCAUCAAAGGGAGAAGUGCCUCCACCCAGGCCUACCCCACCAUGCAGCCCCAGUCUGCACAACAAAGCCAGAAUACUCGACCGAGANCUCUUUAUAAUCCUUACGAUUUUACCUCCGAUGAACUUGACCCAGCCUGUGAGUGGCCAAGGGAAGCAUCUUCAGCGAAGGAACAUAAGACAGAACAGUGUUAGUAUACUUUUUAUGAGGAAAGUUGGACUCGGGUGUUUGAAAAUGAGACAUUGUAAAGUUUCUGGGAUCCUGCUAAAGCCUGCACAAANCAGGGACAACAAAAGGGAUUUGGGGUCAGCAGCUUGGAUGGCUUCAAAAAAAGUUUGGACCCAUUAAUGGAGGCACAGGACUAUCGAUGGCUAUUUGCUCUAUGGCAGUAGGAGGUGCUAUGCACCCUAAGAUCUGCUGGUGAGGCUCUCUUGGCCAUGCCACCCCUUUCACUAUUUAAGGGGUGAGGAUGUGUGGGAGGGCCUUCUCGGUCAUAGCCCCCAGGCUAUGGAACAGUCUCCCUUCUGAGGUAUGAAAGGCACCUUGUUGUAUGUAUUCAGAGUGAUUGGUGAAGACACACCUCUUUACCCUGGCCUUUGGCUGAGGGAGCAGCAAGCCUUCCCCAUGCAGCCACUGUCACUGUUUUAGCCAAUCUACUUUAUCUGCUUUUAUAAUGAUUUUAUUGUGACCUGCCCUGAGUCCUUCU